AGUGAACGCUGGCGGCAGGCCUAACACAUGCAAGUCGAACGGCAGCACAGGAGAGCUUGCUCUCCGGGUGGCGAGUGGCGGACGGGUGAGGAAUACAUCGGAAUCUGCCUAUUUGUGGGGGAUAACAUAGGGAAACUUACGCUAAUACCGCAUACGUCCUACGGGAGAAAGUGGGGGACCGCAAGGCCUCACGCAGAUAGAUGAGCCGAUGUCGGAUUAGCUAGUUGGCGGGGUAAAGGCCCACCAAGGCGACGAUCCGUAGCUGGUCUGAGAGGAUGAUCAGCCACACUGGAACUGAGACACGGUCCAGACUCCUACGGGAGGCAGCAGUGGGGAAUAUUGGACAAUGGGCGCAAGCCUGAUCCAGCCAUGCCGCGUGGGUGAAGAAGGCCUCGGUUGUAAGCCUUUGUCUAGGGAAGAAAGUACCUCUAGGUUAAUACCUUCGGGGGAGUGACGGUACCUGAAGAAUAAGCACCGGCUAACUACGUGCCAGCAGCCGC
rnacentral:rRNA from 1 species